rnacentral:rRNA from 1 species
CGCAAGGGAUCAGUAGAGUGACAAACGGGUGAGUAACACGUGGGUGACCUGCCUUCGAGUGGGGGAUAACGUCCCGAAAGGGACGCUAAUACCGCAUGACAUCCUGCCUUUGAAGAGGUGGAGCUUAAAGCUGGGGAUCGCAAGACCUAGCGCUUGAAGAGGGGCCCGCGUCUGAUUAGCUAGUUGGUGAGGUAACGGCUCACCAAGGCAUCGAUCAGUAUCCGGCCUGAGAGGGCGGACGGACACACUGGGACUGAGACACGGCCCAGACUCCUACGGGAGGCAGCAGUGGGGAAUUGUUCGCAAUGGGCGCAAGCCUGACGACGCAACGCCGCGUGGAGGAUGAAGACCUUCGGGUCGUAAACUCCUUUCGAUCGAGACGAAUGGCCCUUGGGCUAAUCACCAGGGGAAUGACGGUACCGAGAGAAGAAGCCCCGGCUAACUCCGUGCCAGCAGCCGCGGUAAUACGGGGGGGCAAGCGUUGUUCGGAAUUACUGGGCGUAAAGGGCUCGUAGGCGGCCAACUAAGUCAGACGUGAAAUCCCUCGGCUUAACCGGGGAACUGCGUCUGAUACUGGAUGGCUUGAGAUUGGGAGAGGGAUGCGGAAUUCCAGGUGUAGCGGUGAAAUGCGUAGAUAUCUGGAGGAACACCGGUGGCGAAGGCGGCAUCCUGGACCACACUGACGCUGAGGAGCGAAAG